rnacentral:rRNA from 1 species
GACGAACGCUGGCGGCGUGCUUAACACAUGCAAGUCGAACGGAAAGGCCCUGCUUUUGUGGGGUGCUCGAGUGGCGAACGGGUGAGUAACACGUGAGUAACCUGCCCUUGACUUUGGGAUAACUUCAGGAAACUGGGGCUAAUACCGGAUAGGAGCUCCUGCUGCAUGGUGGGGGUUGGAAAGUUUCGGCGGUUGGGGAUGGACUCGCGGCUUAUCAGCUUGUUGGUGGGGUAGUGGCUUACCAAGGCUUUGACGGGUAGCCGGCCUGAGAGGGUGACCGGCCACAUUGGGACUGAUAUACGGCCAAGACUCCUACGGGAGGCAGCAGUGGGGAAUAUUGCACAAUGGGCGGAAGCCUGAUGCAGCAACGCCGCGUGCGGGAUGACGGCCUUCGGGUUGUAAACCGCUUUCGCCUGUGACGAAGCGUGAGUGACGGUAAUGGGUAAAGAAGCACCGGCUAACUACGUG